GAUGAACGCUGGCGGCGUGCUUAACACAUGCAAGUCGAACGGUGAGCACGGAGCUUGCUCUGUGGGAUCAGUGGCGAACGGGUGAGUAACACGUGAGCAACCUGCCCCUGACUCUGGGAUAAGCGCUGGAAACGGCGUCUAAUACUGGAUAUGUGACGUGACCGCAUGGUCUGCGUUUGGAAAGAUUUUUCGGUUGGGGAUGGGCUCGCGGCCUCUCAGCUUGUUGGUGAGGUAAUGGCUCACCAAGGCGUCGACGGGUAGCCGGCCUGAGAGGGUGACCGGCCACACUGGGACUGAGACACGGCCCAGACUCCUACGGGAGGCAGCAGUGGGGAAUAUUGCACAAUGGGCGCAAGCCUGAUGCAGCAACGCCGCGUGAGGGAUGACGGCCUUCGGGUUGUAAACCUCUUUUAGCAGGGAAGAAGCGAAAGUGACGGUACCUGCAGAAAAAGCGCCGGCUAACUACGUG
rnacentral:rRNA from 1 species